GGUGCUACACCGCAUCCACAGCACGAGACGGACACUAUUUACACGCUUUGCUCAUCACCCCAGCGCCGCUUUGCUCGAACCAACAGCCGCUUCACGCGCACGAGGCCUUAAUUGGGACAAUUUGGCAGGUGUCAGGCUCUGGAGCUCUGGAGGUGCCGCAGGGGCUGAUGGGAGUUGUAGUUCAGAGCCAGCUUAUUUACAGCAGUGUGGUCAGCUCUCGAGGUCCAGAUCUGCUCUCGAUAGUCAAGCAGCACAAAAUGACAAAUUGAGGGACACAAAGUAAAAGAAAACUCACAACACAAAACAGCCCCCCCUCCCCCCUCCGUUAAACAGGGGUUCUGUUUGAGGAAGGAGGCGAGGGAAGGAGGAGGCGAGGGAAGGAGGCGCUGGAGCCCGAUCCAGACAGACGGAGCAGGAAGUGACGAGAAAGUGACUCGAGUGCAAAAAUAAAUAAACAGCUUUUCCUAAAAGCAAAAGAGAAGUGACGAAGAGGAAGUGCUCCAACAGAAACAUGCAAGUGUGAACUAGAGUUCCAUGCUCGGGUCAAGCGUUCCGCUGAGAGAGGAGGCGGUUCCUCUGGGUUCUCUUCAGGUCGCGGCUCUCCUCGUGGAUCAGGACCAUCACGUCCCCCUGCUGUCGUAACGAUUCAACCAUCUUAAAAAAGACACACCGGAUACCGGAGAACACGGCCACUUCACUCAAGGGAGAACCCGUGUUUCAGUACGGGUUCCACAGGAGCUGGUCGGAGAACACAGGAACCUGCUGGUCAUCAGAGCCGAAAUCUACCAGACAGUAAAGUUAGGUCACUUGUACUACUCAGUGAUGAACACGUGAAUACACACAAACCAGUAAUAAAAUACUUUUAUAAGCACAUUAAAGUACUUUCAGCGUUAUGUUUAAAUAUGUAAAUGAGUCGUGAUCGAAAGGGAGCGUCGGCUGAAUGAAAUCUACAGAUUCUGACCCACAAAGUGUCAAACAAUAAUAAAAAGGUUCAGUCAGAAAGACCAUAGAGACUGUCGUAUUAGCACUGUUUACCUGCGAGCUCACCUGGGCCGCUGUCGCCCUCCAGCAGGAGGCGGAGCCAGUCGGUCACGUGGUCACCAGAGGUCCGCCACCUCCUGAAGGAGCAGCUGAACCCCGGAGGAGAGCGAAGAGUCCCGUGGUUCAUCUCGGCCUCCUGACAGAAGACAACCGUCACAAAGCCGUUUCCUGCACCACAUGUGGAUUCAUCCACGCUGAAAAUAGACGCCACAAAAGGGUGUUAUUAACACGAUGCGUUCAGGCGUUACCGGAGACGGUGGGUCGUUCCAGGGUCCCGGCAGCUCCAGAGACCGAGGAGACACAGAGGAGGCUUUAGAGGCUGCAGGAGUCUCCUUCUCUCUCUGCUGGUCUCCUCCAUCCUCACAGAGGUCAGAGGUCAUCUUCGCCAGCUGACUCUGCCUGAAAAAACGUUUGCGUUUAAAAAUACUGAAAAAUGUCACAUAAAUAUGUAUUCAUGAGCAUUUUCUGCUCUUCCCUUAUUGGUUCAUCUAAAUAAAUAUGUUAGAUACAUAA